UUAAUUUUUAACUAGGUUAGGAGUGAAAGCAUGGACAUUCUAGGCAGAAAAUAAAAGAGAUUAAUUUUAGACUUGAUGAGUUUAUUAAAGAAAAUUAGAUUUUAAAAGUUCACCUUUCAAUAUAAUCCACAGGUUCACAGAAAAAUAAAUAAAUAAAAAACAGAAGUUCACCUAUUUGUAGUUAGCAUUGAAAAAUAUAACUAAACUAAAAUUUUAUUUUCCACUGUAACUUAAACAGGUAAAUUUUGAAAAUCUACUUUUAUAGUUCACAGAAUAGUAUUAAAAUUUAUUACAACUUACAGUUCAAACAAAAUUGUAAUUAACAGAUUAAAGAGAUGCGGUAACAUUACAUGUAUACUUUUUAAAAUUUUUAGCAAAGCAAGAAAACAAAAAGCAUCGCUGAAGAACUGGAACUCAGUAUUUUGAAAAUCAGUCACAGUCUUAAUGAACUUAAGAAAGAACUUCAUAGUACAGCGACACAGCUGGCAGCAGAUCUAUUAAAAUACCAUGCUGAUCAUGUGGUUCUAAAAGCAUUAAAACUUACUGGAGUAGAAGGAAAUUUAGAAGCUUUGGCUGAAUAUGCCUGUAAACUCUCUGAACAGAAAGAGCAGCUUGUUGAG
rnacentral:sRNA from 1 species